rnacentral:rRNA from 1 species
ACGGAGGGGGCGAGCGUUAUUCGGAAUUAUUGGGCGUAAAGGGCGCGUAGGCGGUCUGAUAAGUCAGGGGUGCAAUCCCUCGGCUCAACCGAGGAACUGCCUCUGAAACUGUCAGACUUGAGGCCGGGAGAGGGUAGCGGAAUUCCCAGUGUAGCGGUGAAAUGCGUAGAUAUUGGGAGGAACACCAGUGGCGAAGGCGGCUACCUGGACCGGUUCUGACGCUGAGGCGCGAAAGUGUGGGUAGCAAACAGG